AGCGGAGUUACGUAGAGAGUCCCACGUGCAGCUGAAGCCUUUACUUUUGCCCGUCUCAGCUCUGCUCCCCAUGUGCUGUGUGUGCAGGUCAUGGUGAACUCUUUGCGAUGUGCUGGACCAGACUCCUGGGUGACUGUGUACUCUGGCAAACGCCAUCCUUUCUGUACCACCAAUUCCUGGCAGAGAUGUGCACAAAUACUUACAAAAAUAAACAGCAUGCAACUAUGAGCUAUGCAGAUAUUGUUCACAGUGCAAAGGACUGACAAAACAGUCCAACAGCAAAAUAAAACUUGAAACUUUAGGAGUUUGUUUAUUCACCUGCAGAGCUCCUACAGGGUUACAUUCAGACUGCUGAGAACUGCCUGAGGUCUUCAUCUCUGACUGGGAGCUGCACAGAAGAUGAGAUAAAACAAGCAGAAGAGGAAUAGACACAUCAACCCCAAUAAACCCGUCUAC